rnacentral:rRNA from 1 species
GCCUCCCCUUCCCGUCCCGGCCCCGACCGUCCACGAACGUACCCUUAACCCGGUAAACCGGGACCGGAACGGACCGAACGUCGGGGGAAGGUACGUUAGGUCACAAUAGGAAGGCGAACUCUGAUGCAGCGACGCCGCGUCGAGCGAUGAAGCCCUUCCGGGUCGGUAAAGGCUCUUUCGUACCGGGUAACCGGAGUAAUGACGGUACCCGAAGAACGAAGCUGCGGCUAACUACGUGCCAGCAGCCGCGGUAAUAC